rnacentral:rRNA from 1 species
AUUGAACGCUGGCGGCAUGCUUUACACAUGCAAGUCGAACGGUAACAGGGAGCUUGCUCCGCCGACGAGUGGCGAACGGGUGAGUAAUGCGUCGGAACGUGCCGAGUAGUGGGGGAUAACGCAUCGAAAGGUGUGCUAAUACCGCAUACGAACUGAGGUUGAAAGUGGGGGACCUUCGGGCCUCACGCUAUUCGAGCGGCCGACGUCUGAUUAGCUAGUUGGUGAGGUAAAGGCUCACCAAGGCGACGAUCAGUAGCGGGUCUGAGAGGAUGAUCCGCCACACUGGGACUGAGACACGGCCCAGACUCCUACGGGAGGCAGCAGUGGGGAAUUUUGGACAAUGGGCGCAAGCCUGAUCCAGACAUGCCGCGUGUCUGAAGAAGGCCUUCGGGUUGUAAAGGACUUUUGUCCGGGAGCAAAUGCUGGUGGCUAACAUCCACCGGAGCUGAGAGUACCGGAAGAAUAAGCACCGGCUAACUACGUGCCAGCCGCCGCGGUAACAC